rnacentral:sRNA from 1 species
CGGUGAGCUGAGAUCAUGCCAUUGCACUCCAGCCUUGGCAAAAAGAGCGAAACUCCGUCUCAAAAAAAAAAAAAAAAAAAAAGCUGCAGCUCAGAGAAGUGGACACUAGCCCAGGGACCCACAGCAAGGCCUUGGCCCAGCUGGGGCUAGAUGGCAAGAGGUGGUUCAGCAUUGGAGCUCCAUUGCCUGUGUUCAAAUCGGGGUCUGUCACUGGCCAGCUGUGAGCCUAAGUCUCUGAACUUCUCUGUGCCUUAGUGUCCUCAUUCUGUAGAGUGGAGAUAGUAAUCAUUCCUAUUUCAAAGAUUGUUGUGAGAAAUAAGUGAAUACAUGUCAUAUGCUUAAAAGCAGGGCCCAGGACACAGAGAGCAUACAAUAGACAUUAGCUGCUGUGGUCUCUUGAUUUCAAGCCCAGUGCAGAUGCAUCUGACUUAUGAAACUUCAGUGACACCUGCUCUGUGCCAGACACCGAAGAUGGAGCAGUGAACAGCGCUGACCCAGCCUGUCCUCCUGUUGCCUGCAGGCCAGAAGCAAGGUCUCGCUGUGUUACCCGGGCUGGAGUGCAGUGGCUACUUACAGACAUGAUCAUAGCAUACUGCAGCCUCGAACUCCUGGACUAAAGCAGUUCUCCUGCCUCAGCCUCCAGAGCAGCUGGGACUGCAGACAUGCACCACAGAGCCCAGCCUGAGUCAUUUUGAUUCUGUAACUGGUGUCCUCUCGGCGGGCUGGCUCACACCCUCCACCACCAGCUGGAGAUGGAAGGAGGAUGCUCACUGUUC